rnacentral:rRNA from 1 species
UACGUAGGGUGCGAGCGUUAAUCGGAAUUACUGGGCGUAAAGCGUGCGCAGGCGGUUCUUUAAGUCAGAUGUGAAAUCCCCGGGCUCAACCUGGGAACUGCGUUUGAAACUACAGGGCUAGAGUAUGGGAGAGGGAGGUAGAAUUCCACGUGUAGCAGUGAAAUGCGUAGAGAUGUGGAGGAAUACCAAUGGCGAAGGCAGCCUCCUGGCCUAAUACUGACGCUCAUGCACGAAAGCGUGGGGAGCAAACAGG